UACGAAGGGGGCUAGCGUUGCUCGGAAUUACUGGGCGUAAAGCGCACGUAGGCGGUUUCUUAAGUCGGGGGUGAAAUCCUGGAGCUCAACUCCAGAACUGCCUUCGAUACUGGGAAACUUGAGUCCGGGAGAGGUGAGUGGAACUGCGAGUGUAGAGGUGAAAUUCGUAGAUAUUCGCAAGAACACCAGUGGCGAAGGCGGCUCCACGUGCCCGUGUCGUACGCUGAGGUGCGAAAGCGAGGGGAGCAAACGGG
rnacentral:rRNA from 1 species